AGUUUGCAGCCCCCAUGACGUCAGGCCCAACGGCCAAUGGCGGGGCACUGGGGGUUGGGGGCCUCACAAUGGCAGCGCGCGGGUGCAUAUGUCCCCAAUUAGGGCCGGGCGCCGCCAUUGUCCCUUCCUCGCCCCCUCCUCGCGUUGGGGUCUCUGAGCUGAGCUCUCCCCACGCAGUCUGCUCUGGCUAUCGACUAUGGUCGCGGAGCGGCAAGCAGAGACUGCAGCGUGGUGACCUUAUACGGACUGGCCCGGCGGGCGCAGGUGCCAGGGCGGCACAGCAGUGCUGAGCUCAGCUCCCUUCCUCCUGCUGCGUGCUGGGCUGCUACCUGCAUCCACUGCCUCGCGUCCGGCCACGGCAGAACACCAUGAUAGAAAAGUGUAGCAGAACAAAGUUACUCAGUGCACAGCAGCCAGGAAGCAAAGAGGGAUGCAGGAGAGUGCUGGACAAGGCAUGAGGUACCAUGGCCAGCUCUUCAACAAUCUUACCGUCGCUGGCAACGCUUUGUCCUGGAGGCUACCUUGAAGAAAUUCCUGGGUGCGAAUCUUUCUUAAUGGAUUGGAUUGUUAUUAAACCGUUGAAAACCUACCUGGUGUUCAGAGGCAUCAUACUGGCUUAGACUACAUAAGCUAAACCAUUCAAAACAAAAAGAGACCCUUGAGCUUCAACAUUCUUGCAGGCUGGUGUUCUCUGGACAUCUCAUCUGCUACCACUACUGAGCUGACAGAAACAUCUUACCCAGGCCAUUGGUCGUGGAGACAAUCUGGAGAAUGUAAUGAUGAAUUCUGUCAACCUGACUGAACUCAGCAGCACCAGGGAAACACGUGGCUAGGUAUGUCUACAAGGCCCAGCUCGAGCGAGUGUGGACUCACAUCUUGUGGGCUCAAACACUGGAUCCUAUAGAAAGGAGAAAGUGGGCUGAGUGCCCACCAGCAUUUGUCCCUCUCUGCUUCCCGUAUCAUCUGGAUACAAAUGAGACCGGCUCCUCUAUGCUCUUGCUCACUAUGCCUUCCCCGCCAUGACAGGCUGCAUCCUGUCACACAAACCUCUCCUCCCUUAAGCCAUUUCUCCUCAGGUUGGUCACAGCAACGAGUAACUGAUAAGAGGUUCAAACCUGGGCAUUUAGCUCCUCCUUUCUCCCCAUGCCUUCCUGAUUUAAAAAUAAAAAAAUGAAAACCGGC
ensembl:lncRNA